CCUACGGGAGGCAGCAGUGGGGAAUAUUGCACAAUGGGGGAAACCCUGAUGCAGCGACGCCGCGUGAGUGAGGAAGUAUCUCGGGAUGGAAAGCUCCAUCAGUAGGGAAGAAAAUGACGGUACCUGACUAUGUAGCCCCGGCUAACUACGUGCAAGCAGCCGCGGUAACACGUAGGGGGCAAGCGUUAUCCGGAUUUAUUGGGUUUAAAGGGGGCGCAGGCGGAAGAUCAAGUCAGCGGUAAAAUUGUGGGGCUCAACCUCUUCGAGCCGUUGAAACUGGUGUUCUUGAGUGAGCGAGAAGUAUGCGGAAUGCGUGGUGUAGCGGUGAAAUGCAUAGAUAUCACGCAGAACUCCGAUUGCGAAGGCAGCAUACCGGCGCUCAACUGACGCUCAUGCACGAAAGUGUGGGUAUCGAACAGGAUUAGAUACCCGAGUAGUC
rnacentral:rRNA from 1 species